ACCGGUUUGGUGGCGGCAACUCAAGGAAGUUGUCACCCGGAUGACUCGGGUGACUCGCCACCCCCACUAGCCCAGAUUUUGAAUGCGAAUCUACAUAGCGUCACUAAACUCACCUCCGUACAUGAUCGAAGUCAGCGGUCUCAGUCGUAAAUUAAAAAUGCGCGCGGGUGUUUGACAUCAGGCAAGGUCAGUGUCGGCAGUUGGCAGAAGCUGUAUACUGCUUAAUGCUCAAUGCGUCCAAGUCGAACCGAGCUGACCCCAAAACAUGGCGAGAAGGCAGAGCCGGAAACCAAUUGCGGAAGCAAAUCAAUUAUUUAUUGUUUUGACUUGUUAUUAUGAACGAUAAUACACACAAUGCGAUUUGGAUGCGAA